CUACUGUGUUUUAUAUAGCUAUUGCUCUCUUGCAGUCUGUUGGAGGGCCAGGUCAUCAACUAGACUGGCAUGGCCAUUCUGGAGGUGGGCAUUCUCAAUGGCUUCAACGUGGUUAGACAAUGGUAUCGGCUUUUUGGUCCUCCAAUAAUCGGUAUCGGCGGUGAAAAAUGAUAACCGGUCGACCUCUAACGUCAACUCUGGACAUGGGAUCUUAUUCCAGAGGCCGACCCAAACUAACGAGGUCACUGCAGGAGAGGCAGACGGAGGGGCCUACUAGUAAGACUUAGAAGGCGAGCACACCAUCCACCGCUUCCGAGCAUAUUACUCGCCAAUGUUCAAUCGCCAGACAAUAAGGUGGAUGAAAUUAGGGCACAAGUUGCCUUCCAGAGAGACAUCAGAGAUUGUAACAUUCUCUGUUUCAUGGAAACAUGGCUCACCUGGGAUAUGUUGUCAGUUGGUACAGCCACCCGGUUUCUUCACGCAUCGCGCCAACAGAAACAAACAUCUCUCUGGUAAGAAGAAGGACAGGGGUGUAUGCCUUAUGAUUAACGACUCAUGGUGUAAUCAUGAAAACAUACAGGAACUCAAGUCCUUCUGUUCACCUGACCUAAAAUUCCUUACAAUCAAAUGCCAACCAAAUUAUCUAGCAAGAGAAUUCUCUUCGAUUAUAGUCACAGCCAUGCAUACCCCCCCAAGCAGAUACCUCGACAGCCCUGAAAGAAAUUCACUGGACUCUAUGUACACUGGAACUGCAACUGGAAACAUGACCGAAUACAAACAGUGUAGUUAUUCCCUCCGCAAGGCAAUCAAACAAGCAAAGCGUCAGUAUAGAGACAAAGUAGAGUCACAAAUCAAUGGCUCAAACACAAGACGUAUGUGGCAGGGUCUACAGUCAAUCACGGGUUACAAAAAGAAAACCAGCCCCAUCGCUGACAUCGACGUCUUUCUCCCAGACAAAUUAAACAACUUCUUUGCUCACUUUGAGGACAAUACAGUGCCACUAACACGGCCCGCUACCAAAGUCUGUGGGCUCUCCUUCACCGUGGCCAAUGUGAGUAAAACAUUUAAAUGUGUUAAUCCCCGCAAGGCUGCAGGCCCAGACGGCAUCCCUAGCCGCGUCCUCAGAGCAUGCGCAGACCAGCUGGCUGGUUUGUUUACGGACAUAUUCAAUCAAUCCCUAUCCCAGGCUGCUGUGCCCACAUGCUUCAAGAUGUCCACCACUAUCGCCCGUAGCACUCAAUUCUGUCAUCAUGAAGUGCUUUGAGAGACUAGUCAAGGAUCAUAUCACCUCCACGCUACUUGAUACCCCAGACCCACUCCAAUUUGCUUACUGCCCAAAUAGGUCCACAGACGACGCAAUUGCCAUCACACUGCACACUGCCCUAUCCCAUCUGGACAAGAGGAAUACCUAUGUAAGAAUGCUGUUCAUUGACUACAGCUCAGGAUUUAACAGCAUCCUCCAAACUCAUCAUUAAGCUCGAGACCCUAGGUCUCGAUCCCGUCUCUGCAACUGGGUCCUGGACAUUCUGACGGGCCGCCCCCAGGUGGUGAGGGUAGGAAACAUCUUCACCCCACUGAUCCUCAACACUCGGGCCCCACAAGGGUGCAUUCUCAGCCCUCUCCUGUACUCCAUGUUCACCCAUGACCGCGUGGACAUUGCACGCCUCCAACUCAAUCAUCAAGUUUGCUACAGUAGUAGGCUUAAUUACCAACAACAACGAGAUGGCCUAUAAGGAGGAGGUGAGGGACCUCUAAGUGUACUGUCAGAAUAAUAACCUCUCACUCAACGUCAACAAAACAAAGGAGAUGAUCGUGGACUUCAGGAAACAGCAGAGGGAGCACCACCCCACCCACAUCAAUGGGACCGCAGUGGAGAAGGUGGAAAGUUUUAAGUUCCUCGGCAUACACAUCACGGACAAACUGAAAUGGUCCACCCACACAGGCAGCAUGGUGAAGAAGGCUAAAGAAAUUUGGCUUGUCACCUCGAAGAGGCUAAAGAAAUUUGGUUUGUCACCUCGAACACUCACAAACUUUUACAGAUGCACAAUCGAGAGCAUGCUGUUGGGCUGUAUCACCGCCUGGUACAGCAACUGCUCCGCCCACAACCGCAAGGCUCUCCAAAGGGUAUUGCGGUCUGCACAACACAUCACCGGGGGCAAACUACCUGCCCUCCAGGAGACCUACAGCACUCGAUGUCACAGGAAGGCCAAAAAGAGGACAACAACCACCUGAGCCACUGCCUGUUCACCCCGUUAUCAUCCAGAAGGCGAAGUAAUUUAAAGUGACUAGUGAUACCUUUAUUAAAACCAUUUAAUAAAUGUAUUUAAGUGGCCAGAGAUUUAAGUCUGUAUGUUGGCAGCAGCCACUCUGUCACUGAUUGCUGUUUAACAGUCUGAUGGCCUUGAGAUAGAAGCUGUCUCUCGGUCCCAGCUUUCAUGCACCUGUACUAACGCCACUUUAAUAGUCUACAUAUCCUACAUUACUCAUCUCAUAUGUUUAUACUGUAUUCUAUACCAUCUACUGCAUCUUGCCUAUGCCGUACAGCCAUUGCUCAUCCAUUUAUAUGUACAUAUUCUUAUUCAUCCCUUUGCAUUUGUGUGUAUAAGGUAGUCAUUGUGAAUUUGUUAGAUUACUUGUUAGAUAUUACUGCACGGAACUAGAGGCACAAGCAUUUCGCUAUAUUCACAUUAACAUCUGCUAACCAUGUGUAUGUGACCAAUGAAAUUGUAUUUGUUUAAGGUUGCAAAUGUCAAGGAUGCAACGGUUCUCCUCUGACUACUUCAAGACCCGUAAAACAAUACUUAAGUUUCAACACACAUUCAAAAGGAGGCAUGAAAGUACUUGGUGGACUUGAUUCGGUAAACAAAUAGUUUACCUUCUUGAGCGGAAGACGGUGAGGACAUACCAGUCCUAUUGGAGGUAUGACAUGGACGCCUGGUCAUUCUGUGGGGAAGACUGCCGCCAGUGUGGGGGACAGGGGGCCUAUAUGUCUGGCAGUGUGUCAGUCUCCCACCAUCAUUACCAUGUGGCCACUCUCACCUGUGCUCUCUUGGUCCUCCUGGCCUGCAGCUUUUAAAAGAUAUCUGUAUAGACUUGUUGUGCCAUUCUGUUGUGUAAUAAUAAGGAAGUGUAAACUGUGAUUUUAC
ensembl:lncRNA